rnacentral:rRNA from 1 species
UGGGGGAAUAUUGCACAAUGGGGGAAACCCUGAUGCAGCGACGCCGCGUGAGCGAAGAAGUAUUUCGGUAUGUAAAGCUCUAUCAGCAGGGAAGAAGAAUGACGGUACCUGACUAAGAAGCACCGGCUAAAUACGUGCCAGCAGCCGCGGUAAUACGUAUGGUGCAAGCGUUAUCCGGAUUUACUGGGUGUAAAGGGAGCGCAGGCGGUACGGCAAGUCUGAUGUGAAAGCCCGGGGCUCAACCUCGGAACUGCAUUCUAAACUGAAUAACUAGAGUAUUGCAGGGGGAGACGGAAUUCCAGGUGUAGCGGUGGAAUGCGUAGAGAUCUGGAAGAACACCAAAGGCGAAGGCAGUCUCCUGGGCAAAUACUGACGCUCAUAUGCGAAAGCGUGGGUAGCAAACAGGAUUAGAUACCCUGGUAGU